rnacentral:rRNA from 1 species
ACCUCAAAUCAGGUAGGACUACCCGCUGAACUUAAGCAUAUCAAUAAGCGGAGGAAAAGAAACUAACAAGGAUUCCCCUAGUAACUGCGAGUGAAGCGGGAAGAGCUCAAAUUUUGAAUCUGGCAGUCCUUGGCUGUCCGAGUUGUAAUCUAGAGAAGUGUUUUCCGCGCCGGACCGUGUAUAAGUCUCCUGGAAGGGAGCGUCGUAGAGGGUGAGAAUCCCGUCUUUGACACGGACUACCAGUGCUAUGUGAUGCGCUCUCGACGAGUCGAGUUGUUUGGGAAUGCAGCUCAAAACGGGUGGUAAACUCCAUCUAAAGCUAAAUACAGGCGAGAGACCGAUAGCGAACAAGUACCGUGAGGGAAAGAUGAAAAGAACUUUGGAAAGAGAGUUAAACAGUACGUGAAAUUGCUGAAAGGGAAACGCUUGAUGUCAGUCACGUUGGCUGGGGAUCAACCUUGCUUCUCGCUGGGUGUACUUCCCGGUCGACGGGUCAGCAUCAGUUUCAGUCGCCGUACAAGGGUGAGGGGAACGUGGC